GGUUAAGCGACUAAGCGUACACGGUGGAUGCCCUGGCAGUCAGAGGCGAUGAAGGACGUGCUAAUCUGCGAAAAGCGCCGGCGAGGUGAUAUGAACCUUUGACCCGGCGAUGUCCGAAUGGGGAAACCCAGUGCAAUUCGUUGCACUAUCGUUAACUGAAUACAUAGGUUAACGAGGCGAACCGGGGGAACUGAAACAUCUAAGUACCCCGAGGAAAAGAAAUCAACCGAGAUUCCCCCAGUAGCGGCGAGCGAACGGGGAGUAGCCCAGAGUCUGAAUCAGCUUGUGUGUUAGUGGAAGCGUCUGGAAAGUCGCACGGUACAGGGUGACAGUCCCGUACACGAAAGCACACAGGUUGUGAACUCGAAGAGUAGGGCGGGACACGUGGUAUCCUGUCUGAAUAUGGGGGGACCAUCCUCCAAGGCUAAAUACUCCUGACUGACCGAUAGUGAACCAGUACCGUGAGGGAAAGGCGAAAAGAACCCCGGCGAGGGGAGUGAAAAAGAACCUGAAACCGUGUACGUACAAGCAGUGGGAGCACCUUCGUGGUGUGACUGCGUACCUUUUGUAUAAUGGGUCAGCGACUUAUAUUCUGUAGCAAGGUUAACCGUAUAGGGGAGCCGAAGGGAAACCGAGUCUUAACUGGGCGUUAAGUUGCAGGGUAUAGACCCGAAACCCGGUGAUCUAGCCAUGGGCAGGUUGAAGGUUGGGUAACACUAACUGGAGGACCGAACCGACUAAUGUUGAAAAAUUAGCGGAUGACUUGUGGCUGGGGGUGAAAGGCCAAUCAAACCGGGAGAUAGCUGGUUCUCCCCGAAAGCUAUUUAGGUAGCGCCUCGUGAAUUCAUCUUCGGGGGUAGAGCACUGUUUCGGCUAGGGGGCCAUCCCGGCUUACCAACCCGAUGCAAACUACGAAUACCGAAGAAUGUUAUCACGGGAGACACACGGCGGGUGCUAACGUCCGUCGUGAAGAGGGAAACAACCCAGACCGCCAGCUAAGGUCCCAAAGUCAUGGUUAAGUGGGAAACGAUGUGGGAAGGCACAGACAGCCAGGAUGUUGGCUUAGAAGCAGCCAUCAUUUAAAGAAAGCGUAAUAGCUCACUGGUCGAGUCGGCCUGCGCGGAAGAUGUAACGGGGCUAAACCAUGCACCGAAGCUGCGGCAGCGACGCGUAUGCGUUGUUGGGUAGGGGAGCGUUCUGUAAGCCGUUGAAGGUGUCCUGUGAGGGGUGCUGGAGGUAUCAGAAGUGCGAAUGCUGACAUAAGUAACGAUAAAGCGGGUGAAAAGCCCGCUCGCCGGAAGACCAAGGGUUCCUGUCCAACGUUAAUCGGGGCAGGGUGAGUCGACCCCUAAGGCGAGGCCGAAAGGCGUAGUCGAUGGGAAACAGGUUAAUAUUCCUGUACUUGGUGUUACUGCGAAGGGGGGACGGAGAAGGCUAUGUUAGCCGGGCGACGGUUGUCCCGGUUUAAGCAUGUAGGCGGAGGUUCCAGGUAAAUCCGGUACCUUUUAACGCUGAGGUGUGAUGACGAGGCACUACGGUGCUGAAGUAACAAAUGCCCUGCUUCCAGGAAAAGCCUCUAAGCAUCAGGUAACAUCAAAUCGUACCCCAAACCGACACAGGUGGUCAGGUAGAGAAUACCAAGGCGCUUGAGAGAACUCGGGUGAAGGAACUAGGCAAAAUGGUGCCGUAACUUCGGGAGAAGGCACGCUGAUAUGUAGGUGAAGCCCCUGCGGGUGGAGCUGAAAUCAGUCGAAGAUACCAGCUGGCUGCAACUGUUUAUUAAAAACACAGCACUGUGCAAACACGAAAGUGGACGUAUACGGUGUGACGCCUGCCCGGUGCCGGAAGGUUAAUUGAUGGGGUUAGCGGCAACGCGAAGCUCUUGAUCGAAGCCCCGGUAAACGGCGGCCGUAACUAUAACGGUCCUAAGGUAGCGAAAUUCCUUGUCGGGUAAGUUCCGACCUGCACGAAUGGCGUAAUGAUGGCCAGGCUGUCUCCACCCGAGACUCAGUGAAAUUGAACUCGCUGUGAAGAUGCAGUGUACCCGCGGCAAGACGGAAAGACCCCGUGAACCUUUACUAUAGCUUGACACUGAACACUGGUCCUUGAUGUGUAGGAUAGGUGGGAGGCUUUGAAGCGUGGACGCCAGUCUGCGUGGAGCCGUCCUUGAAAUACCACCCUUUAAUGGCUGGUGUUCUAACGUAGACCCGUGAUCCGGGUUGCGGACAGUGUCUGGUGGGUAGUUUGACUGGGGCGGUCUCCUCCCAAAGAGUAACGGAGGAGCACGAAGGUUAGCUAAUCCUGGUCGGACAUCAGGAGGUUAGUGCAAUGGCAUAAGCUAGCUUGACUGCGAGAGUGACGGCUCGAGCAGGUGCGAAAGCAGGUCAUAGUGAUCCGGUGGUUCUGAAUGGAAGGGCCAUCGCUCAACGGAUAAAAGGUACUCCGGGGAUAACAGGCUGAUACCGCCCAAGAGUUCAUAUCGACGGCGGUGUUUGGCACCUCGAUGUCGGCUCAUCACAUCCUGGGGCUGAAGUAGGUCCCAAGGGUAUGGCUGUUCGCCAUUUAAAGUGGUACGCGAGCUGGGUUUAGAACGUCGUGAGACAGUUCGGUCCCUAUCUGCCGUGGGCGCUGGAGAAUUGAGGGGGGCUGCUCCUAGUACGAGAGGACCGGAGUGGACGCAUCACUGGUGUUCGGGUUGUCAUGCCAAUGGCACUGCCCGGUAGCUAAAUGCGGAAAAGAUAAGUGCUGAAAGCAUCUAAGCACGAAACUUGCCCCGAGAUGAGUUCUCCCUGACCCUUUAAGGGUCCUGAAGGAACGUUGAAGACGACGACGUUGAUAGGUCGGGUGUGUAAGCGCAGCGAUGCGUUGAGCUAACCGAUACUAAUGAACCGUGAGGCUUAACCUU
rnacentral:rRNA from 1 species